rnacentral:sRNA from 1 species
UUGGUAUUAAAUUUAGAAAAUACUAACAAUUAUGGUAUUGUUGUACGUGUUGUUUGCUAGAAAAUGUAAAGGAAAUUCGCACAUCCGCUUAUUAUGAAAGGAACAAAUUAAAUGGCUGUCUAAAUCGGAAUUAAAAGGAAGUGUCGACAAUCAACCAAACCAAAAAAUAUACAAUCACGAAAACAUUUACAAGAAAUGGAGAGAAGUCCGGAACCUAUUUAAAAUUAUUCUAUAACAGAUGACGAAAUAUGGAGUAGACAAGAUAAGGGGAUGUUCCGUUAAUGUGUCAUGAUAACUAGAAUCCAUCCUCCAGAUGAUAUUAUCCUUUGUCAUACAUAAAUAAAAUUAGAACAAUGUCAACAUUAUCAUUGUACUCGAAGAGAAUUUCUGUUAGUUGUCAUGCUGCGCUGAAGACUGUUUGAAGGAGAAUAGUUAUCUCAUUAGCGCUUUGUAACUUUCUAGUAAGACGCAAAGACCAACCGACGACCUUCUGAUGUCUUUGAAUGUGAAUGGAAAAUUAGUAUUCGUCCUCCUGAACUCAACUUAAUGUAAAAUAUCUUAUGUUUUGUUAAACUUUGUGUGUGUGUGUGUGAUUUGUAAUUUGCAUAUAAGUCUGAACACAAAUGAAGCAUGAUUCAGAAUUGUA